UUAAGCGACUAAGCGUACACGGUGGAUGCCCUGGCAGUCAGAGGCGAUGAAGGACGUGCUAAUCUGCGAAAAGCGUCGGUAAGGUGAUAUGAACCGUUAUANCACUAUCGUUAACUGAAUACAUAGGUUAACGAGGCGAACCGGGGGAACUGAAACAUCUAAGUACCCCGAGGAAAAGAAAUCAACCGAGAUUCCCCCAGUAGCGGCGAGCGAACGGGGAGCAGCCCAGAGUCUGAAUCAGCUUGUGUGUUAGUGGAACGGUCUGGAAAGUCCGACGGUACAGGGUGAUAGUCCCGUACACCAAAAUGCACAGGCUGUGAACUCGAAGAGUAGGGCGGGACACGUGGUAUCCUGUCUGAAUAUGGGGGGACCAUCCUCCAAGGCUAAAUACUCCUGACUGACCGAUAGUGAACCAGUACCGUGAGGGAAAGGCGAAAAGAACCCCGGCGAGGGGAGUGAAAAAGAACCUGAAACCGUGUACGUACAAGCAGUGGGAGCACCUUCGGGUGUGACUGCGUACCUUUUGUAUAAUGGGUCAGCGACUUAUAUUCUGUAGCAAGGUUAACCGUAUAGGGGAGCCGCAGGGAAACCGAGUCUUAACUGGGCGUUAAGUUGCAGGGUAUAGACCCGAAACCCGGUGAUCUAGCCAUGGGCAGGUUGAAGGUUGGGUAACACUAACUGGAGGACCGAACCGACUAAUGUUGAAAAAUUAGCGGAUGACUUGUGGCUGGGGGUGAAAGGCCAAUCAAACCGGGAGAUAGCUGGUUCUCCCCGAAAGCUAUUUAGGUAGCGCCUCGUGAACUCAUCUUCGGGGGUAGAGCACUGUUUCGGCUAGGGGGUCAUCCCGACUUACCAACCCGAUGCAAACUACGAAUACCGAAGAAUGUUAUCACGGGAGACACACGGCGGGUGCUAACGUCCGUCGUGAAGAGGGAAACAACCCAGACCGCCAGCUAAGGUCCCAAAGUCAUGGUUAAGUGGGAAACGAUGUGGGAAGGCACAGACAGCCAGGAUGUUGGCUUAGAAGCAGCCAUCAUUUAAAGAAAGCGUAAUAGCUCACUGGUCGAGUCGGCCUGCGCGGAAGAUGUAACGGGGCUAAACCAUGCACCGAAGCUGCGGCAGCGACACUAUGUGUUGUUGGGUAGGGGAGCGUUCUGUAAGCCUGCGAAGGUGACCUGUGAGGGUUGCUGGAGGUAUCAGAAGUGCGAAUGCUGACAUAAGUAACGAUAAAGCGGGUGAAAAGCCCGCUCGCCGGAAGACCAAGGGUUCCUGUCCAACGUUAAUCGGGGCAGGGUGAGUCGACCCCUAAGGCGAGGCCGAAAGGCGUAGUCGAUGGGAAACAGGUUAAUAUUCCUGUACUUGGUGUUACUGCGAAGGGGGGACGGAGAAGGCUAUGUUAGCCGGGCGACGGUUGUCCCGGUUUAAGCAUGUAGGCUGGUUAUCCAGGCAAAUCCGGAUAAUCAAGGCUGAGGUGUGAUGACGAGGCACUACGGUGCUGAAGUAACAAAUGCCCUGCUUCCAGGAAAAGCCUCUAAGCAUCAGGUAACAUCAAAUCGUACCCCAAACCGACACAGGUGGUCAGGUAGAGAAUACCAAGGCGCUUGAGAGAACUCGGGUGAAGGAACUAGGCAAAAUGGUGCCGUAACUUCGGGAGAAGGCACGCUGGUGUGUAGGUGAAGCCCCUGCGGGUGGAGCUGAGACCAGUCGAAGAUACCAGCUGGCUGCAACUGUUUAUUAAAAACACAGCACUGUGCAAACACGAAAGUGGACGUAUACGGUGUGACGCCUGCCCGGUGCCGGAAGGUUAAUUGAUGGGGUUAUCCGUAAGGAGAAGCUCUUGAUCGAAGCCCCGGUAAACGGCGGCCGUAACUAUAACGGUCCUAAGGUAGCGAAAUUCCUUGUCGGGUAAGUUCCGACCUGCACGAAUGGCGUAAUGAUGGCCAGGCUGUCUCCACCCGAGACUCAGUGAAAUUGAACUCGCUGUGAAGAUGCAGUGUACCCGCGGCAAGACGGAAAGACCCCGUGAACCUUUACUAUAGCUUGACACUGAACAUUGAGCCUUGAUGUGUAGGAUAGGUGGGAGGCUUUGAAGCGUGGACGCCAGUCUGCGUGGAGCCAACCUUGAAAUACCACCCUUUAAUGUUUGAUGUUCUAACGUUGGCCCCUGACCGGGGUUGCGGACAGUGUCUGGUGGGUAGUUUGACUGGGGCGGUCUCCUCCCAAAGCGUAACGGAGGAGCACGAAGGUUAGCUAAUCCUGGUCGGACAUCAGGAGGUUAGUGCAAUGGCAUAAGCUAGCUUGACUGCGAGCGUGACGGCGCGAGCAGGUGCGAAAGCAGGUCAUAGUGAUCCGGUGGUUCUGAAUGGAAGGGCCAUCGCUCAACGGAUAAAAGGUACUCCGGGGAUAACAGGCUGAUACCGCCCAAGAGUUCAUAUCGACGGCGGUGUUUGGCACCUCGAUGUCGGCUCAUCACAUCCUGGGGCUGAAGUAGGUCCCAAGGGUAUGGCUGUUCGCCAUUUAAAGUGGUACGCGAGCUGGGUUUAGAACGUCGUGAGACAGUUCGGUCCCUAUCUGCCGUGGGCGCUGGAGAAUUGAGGGGGGCUGCUCCUAGUACGAGAGGACCGGAGUGGACGCAUCACUGGUGUUCGGGUUGUCAUGCCAAUGGCACUGCCCGGUAGCUAAAUGCGGAAGAGAUAAGUGCUGAAAGCAUCUAAGCACGAAACUUGCCCCGAGAUGAGUUCUCCCUGAGACUUUAAGUCUCCUGAAGGAACGUUAAAGACGAUGACGUUGAUAGGCCGGGUGUGUAAGCGCAGCGAUGCGUUGAGCUAACCGGUACUAAUGAACCGUGAGGCUUAACCUU
rnacentral:rRNA from 1 species